rnacentral:misc_RNA from 1 species
AAAAUUACAAUGCACCAAAUGAUUAAGUGGUGUUAUUACAAAAGAAUUCCUUCAAUUUCUGUUCAAAUAAGCUGAUACUCUUUUCUUCACUUCAAUUUUGUACUGAGCUUCAGUAGUUUCAUCCAUUUCUUGAUGGAAGACGACCCAGUCGCCAGGCCUGAGAUCUUUAGUGCGAGUAAACUGAAGCCAAUCUCCAAAAAUAACAGGUUUGGAAUACCCUUCUGCACGAAUUUUGUAACGAAAUGUCCACACGACCCCAGUCCCGCUAUCCUUAACGUGCAAACUUAUUUCCUGACCCUUUUCAGCAGGGGGGAGAGCUCUGAUACAGUUUUCUGGAACAGACAACCUUCCGGUAAUAUCAGUGCUUGUAAGUAUUUUUGAGAACACCACCAUUGUUGCGUUGUGUUUGUGCUUUGACGCAGCUAAUGCACUGCGGAGUGAGGAGUUUCUUUUCUGGAUAUGAAGACUCAACAAUGCCUUCUCUAAACUGGAAGCCAAACCUUCAGCACAAACAAUUACUUUUUUGAAUCAGUCCAUGUGGAUUUUUCCA